rnacentral:rRNA from 1 species
GAUGAACGCUGGCGGCGUGCCUAAUACAUGCAAGUCGAGCGAACAGAUGAGGAGCUUGCUCCUCUGACGUUAGCGGCGGACGGGUGAGUAACACGUGGAUAACCUACCUAUAAGACUGGGAUAACUUCGGGAAACCGGAGCUAAUACCGGAUAAUAUAUUGAACCGCAUGGUUCAAUAGUGAAAGACGGUUUUGCUGUCACUUAUAGAUGGAUCCGCGCCGCAUUAGCUAGUUGGUAAGGUAACGGCUUACCAAGGCAACGAUGCGUAGCCGACCUGAGAGGGUGAUCAGCCACACUGGAACUGAGACACGGUCCAGACUCCUACGGGAGGCAGCAGUAGGGAAUCUUCCGCAAUGGGCGAAAGCCUGACGGAGCAACGCCGCGUGAGUGAUGAAGGUCUUCGGAUCGUAAAACUCUGUUAUUAGGGAAGAACAAAUGUGUAAGUAACUAUGCACGUCUUGACGGUACCUAAUCAGAAAGCAACGGCUAACUACGUG